rnacentral:lncRNA from 1 species
AGAGAGAGAGAGAGAGAGAGAGAGAGAGAGAGAGAGAGAGAGAGGUCUCUGGUGAGUGGGACAGCCAGUUUCUGCUUGUACUCAGCUGUUUCAUGUUGCCGUUCCUGGAAGAGCUGGACUUGUGAGUGUUUACGGGCAAGCUGCGAGACUGUGUGUGUGCUGGGUGUUGGUCCACCACUGUCAGGCCACACUCUCUCUCUCCCUCCCUCACACUGUCCUUAGUCUGCCCAUUCUUCCUCUUAGCUGUACUAAAAC